rnacentral:rRNA from 1 species
AGUGAACGCUGGCGGUAGGCCUAACACAUGCAAGUCGAACGGCAGCACAGUAAGAGCUUGCUCUUACGGGUGGCGAGUGGCGGACGGGUGAGGAAUACAUCGGAAUCUACUUUUUCGUGGGGGAUAACGUAGGGAAACUUACGCUAAUACCGCAUACGACCUACGGGUGAAAGCAGGGGAUCUUCGGACCUUGCGCGAUUGAAUGAGCCGAUGUCGGAUUAGCUAGUUGGCGGGGUAAAGGCCCACCAAGGCGACGAUCCGUAGCUGGUCUGAGAGGAUGAUCAGCCACACUGGAACUGAGACACGGUCCAGACUCCUACGGGAGGCAGCAGUGGGGAAUAUUGGACAAUGGGCGCAAGCCUGAUCCAGCCAUACCGCGUGGGUGAAGAAAGCCUUCGGGUUGUAAAGCCCUUUUGUUGGGAAAGAAAAGCAGCAGGUUAAUACCCCGCUGUCCUGACGGUACCCAAAGAAUAAGCACCGGCUAACUUCGUG